rnacentral:lncRNA from 1 species
UGGUGUGGUUAGUUACCUAUGAACGAGGUGGUGUGGUUAGUUACCUAUGAACGUGGUGGUGUGGUUAGUUACCUAUGAACAAGGUAGUGGUGGUGUGGUUAGUUACCUAUGAACAAGGUAGUGGUGGUGUGGUUAGUUACCUAUGAACGUGGUGGUGUGGUUAGUUACCUAUGAACGUGGUGGUGUGGUUAGUUACCUAUGAGCGUGGUGGUGUGGUUAGUUACCUAUGAGCGUGGUGGUGUGGUUAGUUACCUAUGAGCGUGGUGGUGUGGUUAGUUACCUAUGAACGUGGUGGUGUGGUUAGUUACCUAUGAGCGUGGUGGUGUGGUUAGUUACCUAUGAGCGUGGUGGUGUGGUUAGUUACCUAUGAGCGUGGUGGUGUGGUUAGUUACCUAUGAACGUGGUGGUGUGGUUAGUUACCUAUGAACAAGGUGGUGUGGUUAGUUACCUAUGAACAAGGUAGUGGUGGUGUGGUUAGUUACCAAUGAACAAGGUAGUGGUGGUGUGGUUAGUAACCUAUGAACAAGGUAGUGGUGGUGUGGUUAGUUACCUAUGAACAAGGUGGUGUGGUUAGUUACCUAUGAACAAGGUAGUGGUGGUGUGGUUAGUUACCUAUGAACAAGGUAGUGGUGGUGUGGUUAGUUACCUAUGAAUAAGGUAGUGGUGGUGUGGUUAGUUACCUAUGAACAAGGUGGUGGUGGUGUGGUUAGUUACCUAUGAACAAGGUGGUGUGGUUAUGUUACCUAUGAAUAAGGUAGUGGUGGUGUGGUUAGUAACCUAUGAACAAGGUAGUGGCGGUGUGGUUAGUUACCUAUGAACAAGGUGGUGGUGGUGUGGUUAGUUACCUAUGAAUAAGGUAGUGGUGGUGUGGUUAGUUACCUCUGAAUAAGGUAGUGGUGGUGUGGUUAGUAACCUAUGAACAAGGUAGUGGCGGUGUGGUUAGUUACCUAUGAACAAGGUGGUGUGGUUAGUUACCUAUGAACAAGGUGGUGGUGGUGUGGUUAGUUACUUAUGAACAAGGUGGUGUGGUUAGUUACCUAUGAAUAAGGCGGUGGCGGUGUGGUUAGUUAGCGAUGAACAAGGUAGUGGUGGUGUGGUUAGUUACCUAUGAACAAGGUGGUGUGGUUAGUUACCUAUGAACAAGGUGGUGUGGUUAGUUACCUAUGAACAAGGUAGUGGUGGUGUGGUUAGUUACCUAUGAACGUGGUGGUGUGGUUAGUUACCUAUGAACAAGGUAGUGGUGGUGUGGUUAGUUACCU